AGUGAACGCUGGCGGUAGGCCUAACACAUGCAAGUCGAAGGCAGCACAGUAAGAGCUUGCUCUUACGGGUGGCGAGUGGCGGACGGGUGAGGAAUACAUCGGAAUCUACUUUUUCGUGGGGGAUAACGUAGGGAAACUUACGCUAAUACCGCAUACGACCUACGGGUGAAAGCAGGGGAUCUUCGGACCUUGCGCGAUUGAAUGAGCCGAUGUCGGAUUAGCUAGUUGGCGGGGUAAAGGCCCACCAAGGCGACGAUCCGUAGCUGGUCUGAGAGGAUGAUCAGCCACACUGGAACUGAGACACGGUCCAGACUCCUACGGGAGGCAGCAGUGGGGAAUAUUGGACAAUGGGCGCAAGCCUGAUCCAGCCAUACCGCGUGGGUGAAGAAGGCCUUCGGGUUGUAAAGCCCUUUUGUUGGGAAAGAAAAGCAGCAGGUUAAUACCCCGCUGUUCUGACGGUACCCAAAGAAUAAGCACCGGCUAACUUCGU
rnacentral:rRNA from 1 species